rfam:Salmo salar isolate Sally breed double haploid chromosome ssa01, whole genome shotgun sequence.
UGCAUUCACUACUGUAAGUCGCUCUGGAUAAGAGCGUCCGCUAAAUGACUUUAA